UAUAAAUCGAGAGUUUGAUCCUGGCUCAGGACGAACGCUGGCGGCGUGCCUAAUACAUGCAAGUCGAACGAAGCUUUUAAUCAAUAAAUGCUUGCAUUUAGCGAUUAAAAGACUGAGUGGCGAACGGGUGAGUAACACGUAGGCAACCUGCCCAAAAGAGGGGGAUAACACUUGGAAACAGGUGCUAAUACCGCAUAACCAUGAAAACCGCAUGGUUUUUAUGUAAAAGAUGGUUUCGGCUAUCACUUUUGGAUGGGCCUGCGGCGUAUUAGCUUGUUGGUGGGGUAAUGGCCUACCAAGGCAAUGAUACGUAGCCG
rnacentral:rRNA from 2 species